AACGAACGCUGGCGGCAGGCCUAACACAUGCAAGUCGAGCGAGGACUUCGGUCCUGGCGGCGGACGGGUGAGUAACGCGUGGGAACGUGCCCUUUGCUUCGGAAUAGCCCUGGGAAACUGGGAGUAAUACCGGAUGAGCCCUUUGGGGGAAAGAUUUAUCGGCGAAGGAUCGGCCCGCGUUGGAUUAGGUAGUUGGUGGGGUAAUGGCCUACCAAGCCGACGAUCCAUAGCUGGUGUGAGAGGAUGAUCAGCCACACUGGGACUGAGACACGGCCCAGACUCCUACGGGAGGCAGCAGUGGGGAAUCUUAGACAAUGGGGGAAACCCUGAUCUAGCCAUGCCGCGUGAGCGAUGAAGGCCUUAGGGUUGUAAAGCUCUUUCAGCUGGGAAGAUAAUGACGGUACCAGCAGAAGAAGCCCCGGCUAACUCCGUG
rnacentral:rRNA from 1 species